AAAAUUUCUAACGGCUCCGUCCUCCCCGCCGCCGACGCCGCCAAGCUCGGACGCCGUCGGGAAUCGCAAGAAUAGAUCCGGAUCAACAGGUGCCAAGGCUACUUAGACCCUUCAGAAGAGGCCACGUGAUCAAGUAGACGUAAAGGAGGCCGCGAGGAGAGAGAAGUCCUCGCGGAGGCAGAAGGAGAAGGCGAGAAAGCAAGAGCGCCGUGAGAAGCAGGAAGAACAGAACUAAAAGGUCACGUGAAGAAGUGGAUAAAAGGGAGGCCGCGAGGAGAGAGAGUCCUCGCGGAGGCAGAAGGAGAAGGCGCGAAAGCGGGAGCGCCGUGAGAAGCAAGAAGAACGGAACUAAUGCGGUUGUUCUUCCAGGAUAUAUAUCGUGAAAAAGCAAGAAAGAUGGAAAGAUAUAAUCUUUGCUGUAUUGGCAGUUCAGUGUUAAAUUUCAGUAAACUAUUUUAAAGUAAAGCUUGAACUAGCAGAUUUCUUGAGUACAUAUUUUGGAAGCUGUUAAUGUCAAAUAAUUAUUAAAUAGUUUAAGAUGCAAACUUGUCUAAAGUAGAAUUUCUACAUCUCGUCAAGGAUGUAUUAUGCUAAAAAAAAAUGUACCUGCUUUACAGUCUAAAGCACUUGAAUAAAGUUUUUCCUUGCUCGUUAUAAUUCUUCUGCUUAAAUCGUAUUUAGGUUGAAAUAGUAAGUCCAUUACGAGUCUGUAUUCGUUAUUUUCCAAUCGCGUGAGUUUGAAAUUAAAGUAAAAUCUUGCA